GGGGGACCCCCCUAAAUAUAGGGGAACCCCCCUAAAUAUAGGGGAGCCCCCACUUUCUAUGGGGCAGCCCCGUGUAGCAUAGGGGGGAACCCAAACUCUCUGUUUUUUGGCAAAUUGGGGGAUUUUCCCUAAAAUCAAGGCUUUUACCCCAAAAAGUAGAGCUUCCCCUAUAUGGGGGUGCCCCAAAAAAUAUGGGGGGGGCCCCAUUUUUUAUGGGGUAGCUGCCCUAUAGUGUGGGGAGGGGAUAGCGUGCGGCCCUACAAGACGUAAAACAACCCCAAAACCCCAUUUUUUUGGCAAAUUGGGGGAUUUUCCCUAAAAUUGAGGCUUUUACCCCAAAAAGCAGGGCUUUCCCUAC
rnacentral:lncRNA from 1 species